rnacentral:rRNA from 1 species
GGGUUGUGAGGUUAAGCGACUAAGCGUACACGGUGGAUGCCCUGGCAGUCAGAGGCGAUGAAGGACGUGCUAAUCUGCGAUAAGCGUCGGUAAGGUGAUAUGAACCGUUAUAACCGGCGAUUUCCGAAUGGGGAAACCCAGUGUGUUUCGACACACUAUCAUUAACUGAAUCCAUAGGUUAAUGAGGCGAACCGGGGGAACUGAAACAUCUAAGUACCCCGAGGAAAAGAAAUCAACCGAGAUUCCCCCAGUAGCGGCGAGCGAACGGGGAGGAGCCCAGAGCCUGAAUCAGUGUGUGUGUUAGUGGAAGCGUCUGGAAAGGCGCGCGAUACAGGGUGACAGCCCCGUACACAAAAAUGCACAUGCUGUGAGCUCGAUGAGUAGGGCGGGACACGUGGUAUCCUGUCUGAAUAUGGGGGGACCAUCCUCCAAGGCUAAAUACUCCUGACUGACCGAUAGUGAACCAGUACCGUGAGGGAAAGGCGAAAAGAACCCCGGCGAGGGGAGUGAAAAAGAACCUGAAACCGUGUACGUACAAGCAGUGGGAGCACGCUUAGGCGUGUGACUGCGUACCUUUUGUAUAAUGGGUCAGCGACUUAUAUUCUGUAGCAAGGUUAACCGAAUAGGGGAGCCGAAGGGAAACCGAGUCUUAACUGGGCGUUAAGUUGCAGGGUAUAGACCCGAAACCCGGUGAUCUAGCCAUGGGCAGGUUGAAGGUUGGGUAACACUAACUGGAGGACCGAACCGACUAAUGUUGAAAAAUUAGCGGAUGACUUGUGGCUGGGGGUGAAAGGCCAAUCAAACCGGGAGAUAGCUGGUUCUCCCCGAAAGCUAUUUAGGUAGCGCCUCGUGAAUUCAUCUCCGGGGGUAGAGCACUGUUUCGGCAAGGGGGUCAUCCCGACUUACCAACCCGAUGCAAACUGCGAAUACCGGAGAAUGUUAUCACGGGAGACACACGGCGGGUGCUAACGUCCGUCGUGAAGAGGGAAACAACCCAGACCGCCAGCUAAGGUCCCAAAGUCAUGGUUAAGUGGGAAACGAUGUGGGAAGGCCCAGACAGCCAGGAUGUUGGCUUAGAAGCAGCCAUCAUUUAAAGAAAGCGUAAUAGCUCACUGGUCGAGUCGGCCUGCGCGGAAGAUGUAACGGGGCUAAACCAUGCACCGAAGCUGCGGCAGCGACACUGUGUGUUGUUGGGUAGGGGAGCGUUCUGUAAGCCUGUGAAGGUGUACUGUGAGGUAUGCUGGAGGUAUCAGAAGUGCGAAUGCUGACAUAAGUAACGAUAAAGCGGGUGAAAAGCCCGCUCGCCGGAAGACCAAGGGUUCCUGUCCAACGUUAAUCGGGGCAGGGUGAGUCGACCCCUAAGGCGAGGCCGAAAGGCGUAGUUGAUGGGAAACAGGUUAAUAUUCCUGUACUUGGUGUUACUGCGAAGGGGGGACGGAGAAGGCUAUGUUGGCCGGGCGACGGUUGUCCCGGUUUAAGCGUGUAGGCUGGUUUUCCAGGCAAAUCCGGAAAAUCAAGGCUGAGGCGUGAUGACGAGGCACUACGGUGCUGAAGCAACAAAUGCCCUGCUUCCAGGAAAAGCCUCUAAGCAUCAGGUAACAUCAAAUCGUACCCCAAACCGACACAGGUGGUCAGGUAGAGAAUACCAAGGCGCUUGAGAGAACUCGGGUGAAGGAACUAGGCAAAAUGGUGCCGUAACUUCGGGAGAAGGCACGCUGAUAUGUAGGUGAGGUCCCUCGCGGAUGGAGCUGAAAUCAGUCGAAGAUACCAGCUGGCUGCAACUGUUUAUUAAAAACACAGCACUGUGCAAACACGAAAGUGGACGUAUACGGUGUGACGCCUGCCCGGUGCCGGAAGGUUAAUUGAUGGGGUUAGCCGCAAGGCGAAGCUCUUGAUCGAAGCCCCGGUAAACGGCGGCCGUAACUAUAACGGUCCUAAGGUAGCGAAAUUCCUUGUCGGGUAAGUUCCGACCUGCACGAAUGGCGUAAUGAUGGCCAGGCUGUCUCCACCCGAGACUCAGUGAAAUUGAACUCGCUGUGAAGAUGCAGUGUACCCGCGGCAAGACGGAAAGACCCCGUGAACCUUUACUAUAGCUUGACACUGAACAUUGAGCCUUGAUGUGUAGGAUAGGUGGGAGGCUUUGAAGUGUGGACGCCAGUCUGCAUGGAGCCGACCUUGAAAUACCACCCUUUAAUGUUUGAUGUUCUAACGUUGACCCGUAAUCCGGGUUGCGGACAGUGUCUGGUGGGUAGUUUGACUGGGGCGGUCUCCUCCUAAAGAGUAACGGAGGAGCACGAAGGUUGGCUAAUCCUGGUCGGACAUCAGGAGGUUAGUGCAAUGGCAUAAGCCAGCUUGACUGCGAGCGUGACGGCGCGAGCAGGUGCGAAAGCAGGUCAUAGUGAUCCGGUGGUUCUGAAUGGAAGGGCCAUCGCUCAACGGAUAAAAGGUACUCCGGGGAUAACAGGCUGAUACCGCCCAAGAGUUCAUAUCGACGGCGGUGUUUGGCACCUCGAUGUCGGCUCAUCACAUCCUGGGGCUGAAGUAGGUCCCAAGGGUAUGGCUGUUCGCCAUUUAAAGUGGUACGCGAGCUGGGUUUAGAACGUCGUGAGACAGUUCGGUCCCUAUCUGCCGUGGGCGCUGGAGAACUGAGGGGGGCUGCUCCUAGUACGAGAGGACCGGAGUGGACGCAUCACUGGUGUUCGGGUUGUCAUGCCAAUGGCACUGCCCGGUAGCUAAAUGCGGAAGAGAUAAGUGCUGAAAGCAUCUAAGCACGAAACUUGCCCCGAGAUGAGUUCUCCCUGACCCUUUAAGGGUCCUGAAGGAACGUUGAAGACGACGACGUUGAUAGGCCGGGUGUGUAAGCGCAGCGAUGCGUUGAGCUAACCGGUACUAAUGAACCGUGAGGCUUAACCUUACAACGCCGAAG